UGCUCGAUGAACCAGGAUGUAGUUUCUCACCAAACAUCAAGUCGGCAGAUGCUGUGAUCUUGAACUUCCUCACCUCCAGAACUGUGAGAAAUAAGUGUCUGUUGUUUGAGCUGCCCAGUUUAUGUUAUUUCUGUUACAACAGCCCCAACAGUCUAAGAACAUCCUUCAAGCUGUGACUCAGGAUCUGAGCUUAUCCAGCACUGGGAAAGAUGGGUCUUUUUGAGGAAUUCAUAUCUAGUGAAUUCCAGGUUGACUGACCAAACCUCAGCCUCAGGUGUUCCUUAUGAGCAGUGUUUUGGUGACCUUAGUCCCUGGAGUCACAGCCUCGGGAUGAAAGGAUGCCUGAAGCGGGGAGUCGACAGGCCUGGAUUGUGUCUGAGCUUCGUGGGAGGCACCCCUCUCUCCACUGGAGGCAAGUAGUUCCCCAGCCUGCGGUGAUCUCCAAUCCGAGUCUCUGACAGCACCCGGGUCCACUUUGCAGACGCACUGAUGCUUCCUCCGCUUGGGUGCCGCACCCGGGAAAGUGUGCUGCGCCGAAGAGGAAGCAAAUUCACACUUAAUUCAGGUUAAAACUGAGCUGUGCUGAAAGUAACGGGAUGGAGUGACAGGGAUCCGCACACACCUCCAGGAGACCCCAGUGCUCCCUGCCUUUCACUUCUCUUGUGCUUCCCACAGCUCGUGUCAGAUUCCCUGGACCUUCAGCUCCGCGCACGUGCACCUGGGCGGCCCCACCGCUGUCGGGGGUGUGUUACCUAAAACCAGGCGCUGACCUCAGGUCAGGGGCUCUUGAGUGUUUCAUCUCUCUGCUGUUCAUAGCUAGCUGGGUGGCCUCUGAAAUAUUAUUUAAUUUCUCUGGGUUCUGAUUUCCUCAAUUGUGUGAUACUCAGUGACCUCGCCGGGACAUUUCACUGCUUAUGAAAAAUGGUGUCUUUUGAAUGUUUCGUCUGUACCUAGAAGAAUUUACGGGGGUGGGGGUGGAGUUGGGUUCUUGCUUAGGGGGUGAUCCUAUAACUCUAGGGUCACAGUUUAUCUUCUCAACUAGGGCAAAGACUGUAACUAUAGAAGAUUAUACCUUAAGAAGGAAAGUUUCUCCCUUUCUAAAAAUGAAAGUUGUGAAACUUACAUUUGUCAUUUUAUCCUGAUUGCUCAGAGUCAAAUAUAAAUGUAAUUGCCAAUUAUGUCAA